rnacentral:rRNA from 1 species
UAUAGGACAAUGGGGGCAACACCGAGCUACCCAUACGGCGUGUGUGUAGAAGGUCUCCGGAUUGUAUAGCACUUUAAGAGGGGAGAAAAGGCUUUAUGUGAUUACACUGUAGUUUUGACGCGACCCACAGAAUAAGCACCCGUGCACUCUGUGCCAGCAGCCGCGGUAAUACAGAGGGUGCAAGCGUUAACCGGAAUUACUGGGCGUAAAGCGCGCGUAGGUGGUUCAGUAAGAUGGGUGUGAAAUCCCCGGGCUUAACCUGGGAACUGCUUUCAUAACUGCUGAGCUAGAGUACGGUAGAGGGUAGUGGAAUUUCCUGUGUAGCGGUGAAAUGCGUAGAUAUAGGAAGGAACACCAGUGGCGAAGGCGACUACCUGGACUGAUACUGACACUGAGGUGCGAAAGCGUGGGGAGCAAACAG